GGGAUGGAUUUCGAUGUUCUUCACUUUGGAAAUCUCAGAAACACUGUCACCACAACAAUGAAAAGUAAAGCCAGAUCUAUUCAAAACAUUUUCAUAUUACAGUUAUCAAUUCUCAUCAUCCAAUGCUUAAAUACAGUACAGUAUGUGCAAUGCAUAUACCAUUUACCUAUAGAUGUACGACGGAAACAGUCCGAGGAUAUGAAUAUAUUUACAGAUAAGAAAUCGAAUCUCCAGCGACCUCCUAUAUCUACCACAACUGCCUAUCGUUCGAUGUACUGCGCUAUGCUGUCGGAGGCCUUCAAUAUGUAUGGCAUGUCAAACAUAGCAAUAUUUGAUCUUUUCCAUUUGUAUCAGUAAGAAAAACAUUCAUAUUGUA